rnacentral:rRNA from 1 species
AUUGAACGCUGGCGGCAGGCUUAACACAUGCAAGUCGAGCGGAGAUGAGGUGCUUGCACCUUAUCUUAGCGGCGGACGGGUGAGUAAUGCUUAGGAAUCUGCCUAUUAGUGGGGGACAACAUUCCGAAAGGAAUGCUAAUACCGCAUACGCCCUACGGGGGAAAGCAGGGGAUCUUCGGACCUUGCGCUAAUAGAUGAGCCUAAGUCGGAUUAGCUAGCUGGUGGGGUAAAGGCCUACCAAGGCGACGAUCUGUAGCGGGUCUGAGAGGAUGAUCCGCCACACUGGGACUGAGACACGGCCCAGACUCCUACGGGAGGCAGCAGUGGGGAAUAUUGGACAAUGGGCGGAAGCCUGAUCCAGCCAUGCCGCGUGUGUGAAGAAGGCCUUUUGGUUGUAAAGCACUUUAAGCGAGGAGGAGGCUACUGAGACUAAUACUCUUGGAUAGUGGACGUUACUCGCAGAAUAAGCACCGGCUAACUCUGUGCCAGCAGCCGCCGUAACAC